UUUUUUAAAUUUAUACUUCAUACAUUUGCAAAUUAGCGGUUUUACAUAUAUUCCUCUUACUGCUUUUCGUGCAUCAUCAUCUGUACGUUCCCUGAGGAAGCAUUUCCUCUUUGUUACUCUCUAUCAAAUCUCUCCAAUUUCAUAAUUGGGAAGUUCUAGAAUCUUCUAAUUGUACAGCCAUGGCUUCCGAGAAUUUCAGCGACAAAAACGCUGUUUUUCGGAAGCUUAAAUCCAAGCCUGAUAACAAGAUGUGUUUUGAUUGCAAUGCUAAGAAUCCUACGUGGGCAUCGGUGACGUAUGGGAUCUUUUUGUGUAUUGAUUGUUCGGCAGUUCAUCGCAGCCUCGGUGUUCACAUCAGUUUUGUUAGAUCAACAAAUUUAGAUUCGUGGACUCCAGAGCAGUUAAAAAUGAUGUACUUUGGUGGAAAUAACCGUGCUCAAGUUUUUUUCAAGCAGCAUGGAUGGAGCGAUGGAGGCAAGACUGAUGCCAAAUAUACCUCAAGGGCUGCUGACUUGUAUAGGCAGUUACUCUUAAAAGAGGUUGCUAAAAGUACUGCAGAGGAUGCAGGUUUGCCAGCCUCACCUGUUGCUUCUCAGGCUGCGCAGGCUACUAAUGGAUUUCCUGAUAUUAAGACCAGUGAACCAACAAAACAAACGUCUUCAUUGAAGGACGAAAAACCCGAGGUUUCUGCUUCACCCAAAGCCUCUCAAGUUAUUACCACCUCUUUUACGAAACCUAUAGUUGCGAAGAAAGCUGGGAAGUCAGGUGGACUUGGAGCUCGCAAACUUACUAAAAAGCCAAGUGAAAGUCUCUAUGACCAGAAGCCUGAAGAACCGCCCGUUCAAAUUUCCUCCUCCAACACUGCAAGUAAUGCAACAACUGUUGGUUCAUCGUUCACAUCUCGUUUUGAGUACAUAGACAAUGUCCAACCUGCUGAGACGAGUUUUGGAGGCCCUCGUGUUUUUAACCAUGUAGCCCCUCAGAAGUCCUCCAACUUUUUUGCAGAUUAUGAAACGGAUAGUGGUUUCACAAAGAAGACAAGUUCCAAUUCUUCAAAAAUUCAAAUUGAGGAAACUGAUGAAGCAAGGAAGAAGUUUUCUAAUGCCAAAUCUAUUUCAUCUGCUCAAUUCUUUGGUGAUCAGUCUAAAUCUGAAAUGGAAUCCUCAGUCUCUCUACAGAAAUUCUCGGGUUCAAGUGCCAUCUCUAGUGCUGACCUAUUUGGUCAAGAUGAUGGGGCAGCUUUCGACGUCACUGCAGGAGAACUUAUUAAUCGGCUCUCUUUCCAGGCACAACAAGAUAUCUCCUCGAUCAAAAAUAUUGCUGGAGAAACUGGGAAGAAGCUUACCUCCUUAGCAUCCACUUUGAUGUCUGAUCUCCAAGACAGAAUCCUAUGAGGAGACUCUGUGUUAAAAAUGAAACGGAGAUGACAGCACCUAAACAUCACUUAUAGAAGUCAAAAGAGUAAUAAUCCCAUCACAACGCAUGAUGUUAGCUGAAUGGCGUUCGAAUAUAUUAAAUGUAGUAUUUCUCCUUUGCGAGUGGAAAUACCCCUCUUUGUUGUAAAUUUAACGGGAAUAUGUUGUAACGCUUACUGAUAAUGUUUACUUUAGGCAGUGAUGGAUCCAAUAAUGGGUUUGCGGGUUUAGCAAACGCAGUGUUUUUGAGGUAGAAUUCAAUAUUAUUUGCAAAGAACAAGUAUAGAUAGAUUUAGGUAUACAUUUAGAACCUAGCCUUUUGGCUCAAAGUUCACAUCUUUA